GGGUGCGAUCAUACCAGCAUUAAUGCACCGGAUCCCAUCAGAACUCCACAGUUAAGCGUGCUUGGGUGAGAGUAGUACUUGGAUGGGUGACCUCCUGGGAAGUCCUCUUGUUGCACCCCUC
rnacentral:rRNA from 1 species